rnacentral:misc_RNA from 1 species
AACUUUCGACAACGGAUCACUUGGCUCUCGCAUCGAGGAAGAACGCAGCGAAAUGCGAUACGUAAUGUGAAUUGCAGAAUUCAGUGAAUCAUCGAAUCUUUGAACGCACCUUGCGCCCCUUGGAAUUCCGAGGGGCACACCCGUUUGAGUGUCGUGAACAUCCUUCAACCUUUCUUGGUUUCUUAACCGGGGAAGGCUUGGACUUUGGGGGUCUUUCAUUGCUGGCCUCUUUGAAGCCAGCUCCUCCUAAAUGGAUUAGUGUGGUCUGCUUUGCCGAUCCUUGACGUGAUAAGAUGUUUCUACGUCUUGGGUUUCGCACUGUCGCUUUAGACCCCGCUUCUAACCGUCUUGCAUUCAAGACAGAGUUUUAAACCUUGACCUCAAAUCGGGUGAGACUACCCGCUGAACUUAAGCAUAUCAAUAAGCGGAGGCU